rnacentral:lncRNA from 13 species
CCGGCUUCUGCCCCUGCCUGGCGAUUUGAAGAAGCUCAAUUGCUACCUGUUGAAGGAAUGGAUAAUUGCAUGAGCAACCAUUGAUAACCACAUGCCUCAACCAUCAAAUUUGCAGGGGCCUUCCAUGGAAUAAGUGAGCAAAGCCCCAAGAAGAUGCUAGUAUCAUCAUCAUCCCCACUUAACAGAUGGGAAAUGGACUUAGAAGGAUUAGCCAAUCGUCACAUGGCUGCUUCUGCCUUGCCAGCAGAGAGGGACCUUCCCGAGAGGAUGUCCUGUGCCUCACCUGAUCUUGUUCUGAGAGGAGAAGGCUAGAAGAGAAGCUUUCAACUCCUCAAACAUGGAUGGGUUUGUUUCAUUUAAUCUCCCAGCCUGUUU